rnacentral:rRNA from 1 species
GCUCUUUCAGCCGGAAAGAAAGCGCAUGGGUGAAUAACCUGUGUGGAUGACGGUACCGGAAGAAGAAGCACCGGCUAACUACGUGCCAGCAGCCGCGGUAAUACGUAGGGUGCGAGCGUUAAUCGGAAUUACUGGGCGUAAAGCGUGCGCAGGCGGUUUUGUAAGACAGAUGUGAAAUCCCCGGGCUUAACCUGGGAACUGCAUUUGUGACUGCAAGGCUAGAGUACGGCAGAGGGGGGUAGAAUUCCACGUGUAGCAGUGAAAUGCGUAGAUAUGUGGAGGAAUACCGAUGGCGAAGGCAGCCCCCUGGGUCGAUACUGACGCUCAUGCACGAAAGCGUGGGGAGCAAACAGGAUUAGAUACCCUGGUAGUCCACGCCCUAAACGAUGUCAACUAGGUGUUGGGGGGGGAGACUUCCUUAGUACCGCAGCUAACGCGUGAAGUUGACCGCCUGGGGAGUACGGUCGCAAGAUUAAAACUCAAAGGAAUUGAC